rnacentral:rRNA from 1 species
UACGAAGGGGGCUAGCGUUGCUCGGAAUCACUGGGCGUAAAGCGCACGUAGGCGGGUCUUUAAGUCAGGGGUGAAAUCCUGGAGCUCAACUCCAGAACUGCCUUCGAUACUGGCGAUCUCGAGUUCGGGAGAGGUGAGUGGAACUGCGAGUGUAGAGGUGAAAUUCGUAGAUAUUCGCAAGAACACCAGUGGCGAAGGCGGCUCACUGGCCCGAUACUGACGCUGAGGCACGAAAGCGUGGGGAGCAAACAGG